rnacentral:tRNA from 1 species
UGUAUAAUAAUAAUAAAUAAAUAUCUAAGUUUAAGUGUAUCAUUUACAAUGAUAAGAUGUUUUUAACUU